rnacentral:misc_RNA from 1 species
GAUGAAGAACGCAGCGAAAUGCGAUAAGUAAUGCGAAUUGCAGAAUUCCAGUGAGUCAUCGAAUUUUUGAACGCACAUUGCGCCCCCUGGUAUUCCGGGGGGCAUGCCUGUCCGAGCGUCAUUGCUGCCCUCAAGCACGGCUUGUGUGUUGGGCCUCCGUCCUCCUCCCGGGGGACGGGCCCGAAAGGCAGCGGCGGCACCGCGUCCGGUCCUCGAGCGUAUGGGGCUUCGUCACCCGCUCUUGUAGGCCCGGCCGGCGCUUGCCGACACAUCAAUCUUUUUUCCAGGUUGACCUCGGAUCAGGUAGGGAUACCCGCUGAACUUAAGCAUAUCAAUAAGCGGAGGA